CUCGCCCAGACGCCCACCAGGGGCCUUGCUGUCCUGCGUUGUGAUGAGCAGCCAGGGGUUCUCCCAGCUGCCAACGGGCAAAACUUGUCUUGAGCACUCAGGGUCUGUGAGCUCAUGUACAGUAUUCAGCCUAUGCCUUAGUUUCCACACCUAUAAAACAUGGCUUUGAAUACUGCCUACAUCGUAGGCCUGUUGUGAGGAUUAAGUGAGCUAAUGUGUGCAGAGGGCUUAGCAUAUUACCUGGCAGAUAUUAUGUGCUCAAAAAAUAUUAAUUACUGUGACUAUCAGCAACAUAAUCACUAUCAACGCCAUCAUCAUCAUCACUAGCAUCAGCUUUAUUACCACCAUCAUCACCACCAUCACCAUCACCAUCAUCAUCACCAUCAUCACCACCAUCACCAUCACCAUCAUCAUCACCAUCAUCACCACCAUCAUCACCACCAUCAUCACCACCCACUGUCAUCAUCAUCACCACCAUCAUCACCACCCACCGUCAUCAUCAUCACCACCAUCAUCAUCAUCACCACCAUCAUCACCACCAUCACCACCAUCAUCACCACCACCAUCACCAUCAUCACCACCAUCACCACCAUCACCAUCAUCAUUGUCACCAUCAUCACCACCACCAUCACCAUUAUCUUCACCAUCACCAACAUCAUCACCAUCAUCACCAUCAUCACUAUCAUCAUCAUUACCAUCAUUACCAUCACCACCAUCACCAUCAUCAUCAUCACCAUCAUCACCACCACAUCACCACCAUCAUCCUCACCAUCACCAUCAUCAUCACCACCAUCACCAUCACAUCACCACCAUCAUCGUCACCAUCAUCACCAUCACCAUCACCAUCAUCAUCACCAUAAUCACCACCACCAUCACCAUUAUCUUCACCAUCACCACCAUCAUCGUCACCAUCACCAUCAUCACUAUCAUCAUCAUUACCAUCAUUACCAUCACCACCAUCACCAUCAUCAUCAUCACCAUCAUCACCACCACCAUCACAAUUAUCUUCACCAUCACCAGCAUCAUCAUCACCAUCAUCACCACCACCAUCACCGUUAUCUUCACCAUCAUCAUCACCACCAUCAUCACCAUCAUCCUCACCAUCACCAUCAUCAUCACCACCAUCACCACCACAUGACCACCAUCAUCCUCACCAUCAUCACCAGCACCAUCACCAUCAUCAUCAUCACCAUCAUCACCACCACCAUCACCAUUAUCUUCAUCAUCACCAACAUCAUCAUCACCAUCAUCAGCACCAUCACCACCAUCACCAACAUCAUCAUCACCAUCAUCACCACCAUCACCAUCAUCAUCAUCACCAUCAUCACCACCACCAUCACAAUUAUCUUCACCAUCACCAGCAUCAUCACCAUCAUCACCACCACCAUCACAAUUAUCUUCACUAUCACCAACAUCAUCAUCACCAUCAUCACCACCACCAUCACCGUUAUCUUCACCAUCAUCAUCACCACCAUCAUCACCAUCAUCCUCACCAUCACCAUCAUCAUCACCACCAUCACCACAACAUCACCACCAUCAUCACGACCACCAUCACCAUUAUCUUCAUCAUCACCAACAUCAUCAUCACCAUCAUCAUCACCAUCACCACCAUCACCAACAUCAUCACCAUCAUCACCACCAUCACCAUCAUCAUCAUCACCAACAUCACCACCACCAUCAUCACCACCAUCAUCAUCACCAUCACCAUCAUCACUAUCAUCAUCAUUACCAUCAUUAUCAUCAUCACCAUCAUCAUCAUCAUCAUCAUCAUCAUCAUCAUCAUCAUCAUUUUCCCUCCUGAACUUUCAAGCUCCCUGCAGGUAGAGAACAAGUAUGAGUCAUCAUUGUCUAGCUGGACACGUAGCCUGACACAGAGUAGACACUAUUAAAUCUUGUUGGAGGAUAAAGUGGAUGGGCAGGUAGGCAGAUGGGUGAAUGAACAGAUGAAGGAAGGGGUAGAUGGCUGUAUAAACAAAUGAAUGGGUGUGUGGAUAAAGAGUGGUGGGAUGGAUGAAUGAGUCAGUGAAUGAGUGAGUGAGCUGCUGUAAGGAAGAGCAGAUGGACAGCCGAGGGGAUUCCUCCCACGCUGGCCUCUGCAGAUGCUGAACUGCUGAGUAAUGGCAGGCAUCGCAGUGUCCCCACAGAGUGAUGAUAUUAAAAUCCCUGAAGACUAUGUUGUCAAUAUCCGGGGGAGACGAUCUCUGGAGCCAUCAGCAGCAGAAGUGAGCUCCCUGCAAUU
rnacentral:lncRNA from 1 species